rnacentral:rRNA from 1 species
AGCCUGCGAGUMUUGUAGCAAUACAAGGCAGACGGCUCAGUAACGCGUAGUCAACCUACCCUAUGGACGGGAAUAACCUCGGGAAACUGAGAAUAAUGCCCGAUAGAACAUUAUGCCUGGAAUGGCUUUUGUUCCAAAUGAUUUAUCGCCAUAGGAUGGGACUGCGGCCUAUCAGUUUGUUGGUGAGGUAAUGGCCCACCAAGACUAUUACAGGUACGGGCUCUGAGAGGAGUAGCCCGGAGAUGGGUACUGAGACACGGACCCAGGCCCUAUGGGGCGCAGCAGGCGAGAAAACUUUGCAAUGUGCGAAAGCACGACAAGGUUAAUCCGAGUGGUUUCUGCUAAAGGAACCUUUUGACAGUCCUAGAAACACUGUUGAAUAAGGGGUGGGCAAGUUCUGGUGUCAGCCGCCGCGGUAAAACCAGCACCUCAAGUUGUCAGGAUGAUUAUUGGGCCUAAAGCAUCCGUAGCCGGCUCUGUAAGUUUUCGGUUAAAUCUGUACGCUCAACGUACAGGCUGCCGGGAAUACUGCAGGGCUAGGGAGUGGGAGAGGUAGACGGUACUCUGGAGGAAGUGGUAAAAUGCUUUGAUCUCUAGAUGACCACCUGUGGCGAAGGCGGUCUACCAGAACACGUCCGACGGUGAGGGAUGAAAGCUGGGGGAGCAAACCGGAUAAGAUACCCGGGUAGUCCCAGCUGUAAACUAUGCAAACUAAGUGAUGCAUUGGCUUGUGGCCAAU